UGAGUUAGUUAUAAAGCUUUAUGCGCUGAGGGAUUGGGAUAUGCUCUAUUAGCUUGUUGGCGGGGUAAAAGCCCACCAAGGCUAUGAUAGAUAGCUGGUCUUAGAGGAUGAACAGCCACAAUGGGAUUGAGAUACGGCCCAUAUUCCUACGGGAAGCAGCAGUAGGGAAUCUUCCACAAUGGACGAAAGUCUGAUGGAGCAAUACCAUGUGAACGAUGAAGGUCUUUUUGAUUGUAAAGUUCUUUUAUGAGGGAUAACAACUGAUAGUACCUCAUGAAUA
rnacentral:rRNA from 1 species